GAAAUGCGAUAAGUAAUGCGAAUUGCAGAAUUCAGUGAAUCAUCGAAUCUUUGAACGCACAUUGCGCCCCCCAGUACUCUGGGAGGCACGCCUGUCUGAGCGUCAUUUCAACCCUCGCGCCCCGCGGCCUCUGUGUCCGGGCGCGGUGUUGGGGAUCGGCCGCCUGCCCAGCGGGAGGCCGGCCCCUAAAUCUAGUGGCGACCACGCCGUAGCCUCCUCCGCGUAGUAGUUCACACACCUCGCGGGCGGAGAGCGGCGCGGCCCUGCCGUAAAACACCCAUCAUUUCACAAGGUUGACCUCAGAUCAGGUGGGAAUACCCGCUGAACUUAA
rnacentral:misc_RNA from 1 species